UUUUUUUUUUUUUUUUUUUAAGAUUUUAUUUAUUUAUUCUUGAGAGACACAGAGAGAGGCAGACACAAGCACAGGGAGAAGCAGGCCACAUGCAGGGAGCCCGAUGUGGGACCAGAUCUCGACACUUCAGGAUCACGACCUGGCCCUAAGGCAAGUGCUAAACCGCUGAGCCACCCAGAGAUCUCCAAACACAGACCAUCUUAAUAUCUAACUGGUUUUAACUAUACAAGGAUGCACAGCUAUUAAUUAUAUCUUAUUGUCAAGCGUAGAGAACUAUAUUUCAAAUGUAAGUAUUAUAAAAGACAAGUCUAAUGCUCAAUCUGAAGUAUUUCUGCAAGAGUCACUCAUACACUUUAGCAAAGCUGUAGUGACUUUUCAAGUGCUCUGACCUGGACCUGUUUUUUUGCCUCUAACAGGGCAGCAGUCACAGGUGAGGAUGGGUAAGUUACUUAUCCUCUUGGUCUGAAACAGUGCAGAAAAUAAUUGUAUUUUUAGGGCUUUAGAUAAGGGGCUGGCGCCUGGGCUGUGACAGAAACCACUUCUUACUAUCGUUUCCAAUAUAGAGCCAUUCACAGAAAGGACAAAAGAGACAGAGGGGAAAGCAGGAACCAAAGGUUCUUGAAGGGACCUUCAGAGGGUGAAAUACUGGUUCUUAACUAUGUCAGCCUGAUACCACUAGACCAACUUCAGGUGUGCAGUAUUUACCCAACCUGACAGAUUAUAGAAAAUUGUUGUCCCUUUUUCAGAAGAGCCGUAGAAGUGGUCACCUCUAGAGGAGGUCUGGAAGGUAUCUGCUGUUACAGAAUCUUAUACUUGUUCUUCACAGCAUUCAUCACGACCUUCAUACAGAUUAUUUUUUUGACAUUGUUUGCUGAGUGUCCUACCAUGUGACCACCUUGCUUACCCCUGCAUCCAUAGCUUCAUCACAAAGAUUGGUUCCUAGUAGGUAAUGUAAACGUUUGAUGACUUAAGUCCUCAGGGGAGAGGGCAGAGGCUGUGGUUUUGGUUGCUAUCUGAUUUUUUUCAUUGGUAUCGUGAAGCGCUUCAAGGAAAAACAAUGUCCUCAGCUCUCAUUAAGUGUUUUCCGAAAGAACCCACAUCUUACUCAUUAGGAACACUAUAACUGACGCCACCUCAGGGGCUCCUUCGGGUUCCCUUCCUGAAAGGAAAUAACGUGAACUCAACAGGCGGUCCAGGAAGACGGAUUUUCUUUGAUGUCACUUGCUGAGGGCUUUUAGAGUAACCUGUUAACGUUGUGGAGUGGGAGCUAAGUUUGUCGGCUCUUCUCUUUACUUAUACUUUGAAAUAGUUCUCAAUGUGUGGUCCUGAACCAACCAUGGGUAUCGCUAGGAAACUUCCUGGAAAUGCAAACCCUUGGACCGCAGCAUAGACCCGAUCCGUCAGACACUCUGGAAGCGAGAUGCGGCAACCUGUUUUUUAAUAGGUCUUCCAGGUGAUCCUGAAUCAUGGCUAAGAUCGAGAACUACGGUCGUAAACCAAACGAAGUCCACUAACGACCACCAGUCUACGUGGCCCCUGUGCUGGUGGGGUCCCUCACCCCCGACUACAGGUCGACGCCCAGGGCACGCCCACACGCCCGCCUGCCUGCUCCCUGGGUGCUCCCUCCCGCUAUUCCCAGCGCCGUGAAACGCGCUUCACAGGACCUUCCUUAGGGUAUCAGGUAAGACGACAGGGCAGUGUGUCCGUUAAGCGCCUCAAGGAAGCAGUCGCAGCCACUGCUCGAUGGCGCCAGCACGACUCCCAUCAGGGAGGCUGAUGCUCCAAAUGAGCUUGACUGUGCGUGUUGUCCUCUGGGGGACAAGGUGAGGCGCAGCUUCUGGGCGUGCAGCUGCUUUCCUCGGCGGCAGCUUCACGUCGCUACGGUAACAGGGGAAUCCUGCGUGUGGCCGACAGGCCAGCCUCCUCCAAAACCAACCUCAGUCAUCCAAGCGGCUACGGGAAGGGACGGUGCGCGGGAGACGCAGAAGACAACCAGGCGAGGAGGGCUGGCUGCGGCUGGGCGUGCUCGCCUCACUCCUCGCCUCGCGCCCUUGCACCGCUGUUUCUCUUCGGGAGCCUCCUCCAGCGUCCGCAGCCGGCCGCGCGCGGGGUCAGACGCGGCCCGAGGUCCGCUCGGAGCGGGAGGGGCCACCCGGCCGGGAGGGCCGCGCGGGGAAACCUCACACCGGGGAGGAGGCCCCCGCGCG
rnacentral:lncRNA from 1 species